AGAGAUGGAUUGGUGGCCUUCGGGAACGUCUGACACAGGUGCUGCAUGACUGUCGUCAGCUCGUGUCGUGAGAUGUUGGGUUAAGUCCCGUAACGAGCGCAACCCUUGUCCUUAGUUACCAGCACGUUAUGGUGGGCACUCUAAGGAGACUGCCGGUGACAAACCGGAGGAAGGUGGGGAUGACGUCAAGUCAUCAUGGCCCUUACGGCCUGGGCUACACACGUGCUACAAUGGUCGGUACAAAGGGUUGCCAAGCCGCGAGGUGGAGCUAAUCCCAUAAAACCGAUCGUAGUCCGGAUCGCAGUCUGCAACUCGACUGCGUGAAGUCGGAAUCGCUAGUAAUCGUGAAUCAGAAUGUCACGGUGAAUACGUUCCCGGGCCUU
rnacentral:rRNA from 1 species